rnacentral:rRNA from 1 species
CCUAUGCUGCCGAGAAAAGCCUCUAGCGAGCUGGUACAUGGCCCGUACCCCAAACCGACACAGGUGGUCAGGUAGAGAAUACUAAGGCGAUCGAGAGAACUGUGGUUAAGGAACUCGGCAAAAUGCCCCCGUAACUUCGGGAGAAGGGGGACCAGUCCUGGUGACGACAUUUACUGUCUGAGCUGGGGUUGGUCGCAGAGACCAGAGAGAAGCGACUGUUUACUAAAAACACAGGUCCGUGCGAAGUCGUAAGACGAUGUAUACGGACUGACGCCUACCCGGUGCUGGAAGGUUAAGAGGACCGGUCAGCCACUUCGGUGGCGAAGCUGAGAAUUUAAGCCCCAGUAAACGGCGGUGGUAACUAUAACCAUCCUAAGGUAGCGAAAUUCCUUGUCGGGUAAGUUCCGACCUGCACGAAUGGCGUAACGACUUCUCUGCUGUCUCAACCACAGACUCGGCGAAAUUGCAGUACGAGUAAAGAUGCUCGUUACGCGCGGCAGGACGAAAAGACCCCGGGACCUUCACUAUAGCUUGGUAUUGGUGUUCGGUUCGGUUUGUGUAGGAUAGGUGGGAGACUGUGAAACUCGCACGCCAGUGUGGGUGGAGUCAUUGUUGAAAUACCACUCUGACCGUAUUGGCCAUCUAACCACGGACCAUGAUCUGGUUCAGGGACAGUGCCUGGUGGGUAGUUUAACUGGGGCGGUUGCCUCCUAAAAAGUAACGGAGGCGCCCAAAGGUUCCCUCAGCCUGGUUGGCAAUCAGGUGUUGAGUGUAAGUGCACAAGGGAGCUUGACUGUUAGACGUACAUGUCGAGCAGGGACGAAAGUCGGGACUAGUGAUCCGGCACCGGCAAGUGGAAGCGGCGUCGCUCAACGGAUAAAAGGUACCCCGGGGAUAACAGGCUGAUCUUCCCCAAGAGUCCAUAUCGACGGGAUGGUUUGGCACCUCGAUGUCGGCUCGUCGCAUCCUGGGGCUGGAGUAGGUCCCAAGGGUUGGGCUGUUCGCCCAUUAAAGCGGCACGCGAGCUGGGUUUAGAACGUCGUGAGACAGUUCGGUCUCUAUCCGCCGCGCGCGUAAGAAACUUGAGGAAACCUGUCCCUAGUACGAGAGGACCGGGACGGACGAACCUCUGGUGUGCCAGUUGUUCCACCAGGAGCACCGCUGGUUAGCUACGUUCGGAAGGGAUAACCGCUGAAAGCAUCUAAGCGGGAAGCCUGUUCCAAGAUGAGGUUUCUCACCACCUAGCGUGGUUAAGGCCCCCCACAGACCAUGGGGUUGAUAGGCCAGAACUGUAAGCACAGCAAUGUGUUCAGGUGACUGGUACUAAUCGGCCGAGGACUUU